UGCUCCAAAGACGGCAAUCAUG
rnacentral:miRNA from 1 species